rnacentral:rRNA from 1 species
AUGAAGCUAAGCAGAGCCCUGAACACUUUUGCUCCCAUGUCUUUGAUCUGUAUGACACAGGAUGUAGUAGUGCCCUCCUUCAUGGGGCCAAAGAGUUGUGCCAUUAAAAGUUUAGAUCGGGCUGCAAGCACACCUCGGUGUGCAGCGAACAUCUCGCCGCUGACCUCAAAUGUCACAUCAGCACCCACCUUAGUUUGA